AGCAAACCAAAAACCACUAUAAAAAUCGGUUUCAUUUCAGUUAUCAUAGUAUCCGAACUGUUUUCGACAAGAAACAUUAUUUUCAACUUUGUAUUGCAGGGGAGAAAUGAGAAAUUUUGUGAAAGAGCAACUGGUUUCCUUGUCCAUCAAUCAAGAAAAAUUCUUGAAUUCCUUUCCACAUUGUUAAAAGGCAAAACAAAAAAGCUAUGCAGAAAAUGAGACUC
rnacentral:lncRNA from 1 species